UUCAGAUUGUAAGUUCCUGUUUGGUUGGUGAAAUUUCCUUAUCUGGGUUGUUGUGGGAUUUGGUUCUUGAUUUCUAAUCUGGUGCAAAGACUCUAUUUUUGUACCAGUUAGGUCCUGUUAGUUUUAUCUGUUUUAGUGAUUUGGAUUAGGAAAUUAGUUUAAGUUGGGAAAGUUGGAUUUGUUGAGGUCAGAAUGGGGAAGGAAAGUUGGACAAAGUCGAAAAAGAUAGGAGGUAAAUCUGGUGAAAGUAGUAGUCCUAGAGCGUUUGACAAGGACACAGCAGUUUUCAUUGCUAUGUCGAAGGAACUUAAGGAUGAGGGGAAUAAGUUAUUUCAGAAAAGGGACUAUGAAGGGGCAAUGUUGAAGUAUGACAAAGCUAUCAAGUUGCUUCCGCGGAACCACAUAGAUGUUUCUUACCUCCGCAGUAAUAUAGCAGCUUGUUAUAUGCAGAUGGGACUGAGUGAAUACCCUAGAGCGAUCCAUGAGUGCAAUUUGGCUCUUGAAGUCACACCGAAAUAUAGUAAGG
rnacentral:misc_RNA from 1 species